GGCAACAUGGUGAAAACCCAUCUUUAUAAAAAUAAGCAAAAAUUAGCCAGGAAUGGUGGCAAGUACCUGUAGUCCCAGCUACUUGCAGGGCUGAGGUGGGAGGAUCACCUGAGCCCAGGAGGCUGAGGCUGCAGUGAGCUGUGAUUGUGCCACUGCACUCCAGCCUGGGUGACAGAGCAAGACCCUAUCAAAAAGAAAAAGAAAAAAAAAAAAAAAGAAAGAAAGAGAGAGAAAGAAACAGUGGAGACAGAGGGAAGAGGGGAGGUUUAUUUAUAAGAUAUUAUUAAGAGCAUGGUGAUUGGUGAGCUGGGCUGGGCAGAAGCAAGAGUGACAUUUGAGCUUCUGGCUUGGGUAACAGGGUAAAAGGUGGUGUCAUUCAUCAAGAUUGGGAACCUAGGAGGAGCAGGUUUGGGGGAAGAUAAAGAGUUCAGUUUUGGCCUCGUUGAGCUUGCUGUACACGGCAGGUUGCAAGUGAAGCUGCUUGACAGAAGCCAAAGAGAAACAUGAAAACUCAAAUGUGCCCUGAACCAGUCUCAACCCUGAAGUUAAGGAAUGCAAAAGAGAAAUGCCCGAAAAACACCAGCAUUCCCAUCAGAGGCUCUGCUGCCGCUGGUCAUGAAACCCCAUCAUCACUUAAAUUGCUCUAUUUUAAAGGUUUGUGAAAACUGCACCAAAUUGAUUUUUCCCAUAUCACUUCUAUCUGUUAUUUCUGUGGUCUCUCUUCUUCAUUGCUACAUUUCCCCGGAGCAGGGGAGCAAAUCUAUAUGGAAACUUGAGGUACUCUUAUGUGGUUUGGGAACCA
rnacentral:lncRNA from 1 species